UGAGGAAUAUUGCGCAAUGGGGGCAACCCUGACGCAGCAACGCCGCGUGAGUGAGGAAGGUUUUCGGAUUGUAAAGCUCUGUCGAGCGGAAAGAAGUGCAUUAUGGCUAAUAUCCAUGGUGCUUGACGGUACCGCUAAAGGAAGCACCGGCUAACUCCGUGCCAGCAGCCGCGGUAAUACGGGGGGUGCAAGCGUUGUUCGGAAUCAUUGGGCGUAAAGCGCGUGUAGGCGGCUGGACAAGUCAGAUGUGAAAGCCCUGGGCUUAACCCAGGAAGUGCAUUUGAAACUGUUCGGCUAGAGUAAGGGAGAGGAAAGUGGAAUUCCUGGUGUAGAGGUGAAAUUCGUAGAUAUCAGGAGGAACACCGGUGGCGAAGGCGGCUUCCUGGACCGAUACUGACGCUGAGACGCGAAAGCGUGGGGAGCAAACA
rnacentral:rRNA from 1 species